UGGGGAAUUUUGGACAAUGGGCGAAAGCCUGAUCCAGCAAUGCCGCGUGUGUGAAGAAGGCCUUCGGGUUGUAAAGCACUUUUGUCCGGAAAGAAAUCCUCUGGGUUAAUACCUCGGGGGGAUGACGGUACCGGAAGAAUAAGCACCGGCUAACUACGUGCCAGCAGCCGCGGUAAUACGUAGGGUGCAAGCGUUAAUCGGAGUUACUGGGCGUAAAGCGUGCGCAGGCGGUUUUGUAAGACGGAUGUGAAAUCCCCGGGCUUAACCUGGGAACUGCAUUCGUGACUGCAAGGCUAGAGUAUGGCAGAGGGGGGUAGAAUUCCACGUGUAGCAGUGAAAUGCGUAGAGAUGUGGAGGAAUACCGAUGGCGAAGGCAGCCCCCUGGGCCAAUACUGACGCUCAUGCACGAAAGCGUGGGGAGCAAACAGGAUUAGAUACCCUGGUAGUCCACGCCCUAAACGAUGUCAACUAGUCGUUGGGGAUUCAUUUUCCUUAGUAACGUAGCUAACGCGUGAAGUUGACCGCCUGGGGAGUACGGUCGCAAGAUU
rnacentral:rRNA from 1 species